rnacentral:rRNA from 1 species
GAUGAACGCUGGCGGCGUGCCUAAUACAUGCAAGUCGAGCGAACAGACGAGGAGCUUGCUCCUCUGACGUUAGCGGCGGACGGGUGAGUAACACGUGGAUAACCUACCUAUCAGACUGGGAUAACUUCGGGAAACCGGAGCUAAUACCGGAUAAUAUAUUGAACCGCAUGGUUCAAUAGUGAAAGACGGUUUUGCUGUCACUUAUAGAUGGAUCCGCGCCGCAUUAGCUAGUUGGUAAGGUAACGGCUUACCAAGGCAACGAUGCGUAGCCGACCUGAGAGGGUGAUCGGCCACACUGGAACUGAGACACGGUCCAGACUCCUACGGGAGGCAGCAGUAGGGAAUCUUCCGCAAUGGGCGAAAGUCUGACGGAGCAACGCCGCGUGAGUGAUGAAGGUCUUCGGAUCGUAAAACUCUGUUAUUAGGGAAGAACAAAUGUGUAAGUAACUAUGCACGUCUUGACGGUACCUAAUCAGAAAGCCACGGCUAACUACGUG